AUUUGAAUAGUUUAAUUAAAAAUAUUGAUUUGUGGGGUCAAAGAUACAAGUUUGUUUUGAAUA
rnacentral:tRNA from 1 species